GUAAUGUUAACAUUCAGUACAUUUUUAUAUUAUGAGUUACAUCUAGCAUGUAGUUAUAUGUAGUUCUCUCAGCAUAACGCUUGGUUUAUGAUAGACCUCUCAUCCAUUUCACCUAUUCUAUAAGAUUCAAGAAGGAUGGAAAAGCAAUUGGAAGGAAGGAAUAAAUGAAAUUGGUUACAAGAGCAAGUGGUGGGAAUGGAAGAGAUGUGUCGGUGGAAAAUAGGAGUAGGGGAGGGAUUAAGGGGAGAAUACAGAAUUGGAAAUGAGAGCUAGUUCUACUGUCACAGCCCUCCAUAUGCAAUUGUCAUCUCAUUUUAUCGUAAUCUUUUCCAGCAUUCAAUUAAAAUUUGCUUAUUCAUAUUGUCUAUAUUUUUCCUGUUGGAUUCCCAUCAAAUUGGUAUCAGAGAGGUUCCUUCUGAUGGCACAGAAAAAUAUAGACGGCAAGGUGGACACAAUAGAAACUGAAAUGGAAGAGCGAAGGCAGAAUUGCAACGCCUUCCUGGAUUGGAGAAAUCAGUAAAUUAGUUUACUCAAAAACAUGGCCAAAAUCUUACAAUCCAUAGAGAAAACGAGGAGGACAAUAGCAGCCCUAUCUAGUGCUAAAAUAGGGCUGGGCAGAAGCUGGGAAGGAGAAGGAUCAGGCAGUGUGGUCAAGGGCCCAUUGUCGUAGAACAAAUUGUCAGAAAUCAUUGGUGUUCAACGUACUUUUGAUCGGGAAACAUGGUGGGAGGGCUCAGGUGAGGCCAGUUUCAGUGAAGUCCUAGUGAACCAUGAUAACGAAAGAGAUUGGGAAAAUUGGAGGCAAACGUGCAAGCUCGAAAUGCC
rnacentral:lncRNA from 1 species